rnacentral:rRNA from 1 species
CGAGUCGGGAAGUAGGUUCUUGGAUUGUAAACCCCUUUUCCCAGGGAAGAACAAAAUGACGGUACCUGAGGAAUAAGCAUCGGCUAACUCCGUGCCAGCAGCCGCGGUAAUACGGAGGAUGCAAGCGUUAUCCGGAAUAAUUGGGCGUAAAGCGUCCGUAGGUGGUCAUUCAAGUCUGCCGUUAAAGAGUGGGGCUUAACCCCACAAAGGCGGUGGAAACUGAAAGACUAGAGUGCAGUAGGGGUAGAGGGAAUUCCCGGUGUAGCGGUGAAAUGCGUAGAGAUCGGGAAGAACACCGGUGGCGAAAGCGCUCUGCUGGACUGCAACUGACACUGAGGGACGAAAGCUAGGGGAGCGAAUGGGAUUAGAUUCCCCAAGUAG